rnacentral:rRNA from 1 species
UGAGCAAUCUGCCCUUCACUUUGGGAUAAGCCUCGGAAACGGGGUCUAAUACCGGAUACGACGACCGACUGCAUGGUCUGGUUGUGGAAACUUUUUUGGGUGGGGGAUGUGCUCGCGGCCUAUCAGCUUGUUGGUGGGGUGAUGGCCUACCAAGGCGACGACGGGUAGCCGGCCUGAGAGGGUGUCCGGCCACACUGGGACUGAGAUACGGCCCAGACUCCUACGGGA